rnacentral:rRNA from 1 species
GAUGAACGCUGGCGGCGUGCCUAAUACAUGCAAGUCGAGCGAACAGACGAGGAGCUUGCUCCUCUGACGUUAGCGGCGGACGGGUGAGUAACACGUGGAUAACCUACCUAUAAGACUGGGAUAACUUCGGGAAACCGGAGCUAAUACCGGAUAAUAUAUUGAACCGCAUGGUUCAAUAGUGAAAGACGGUUUUGCUGGCACUUAUAGAGGGAUCCGCGCCGCAUUAGCUAGUUGGUAAGGUAACGGCUUACCAAGGCGACGAUGCGUAGCCGACCUGAGAGGGUGAUCGGCCACACUGGAACUGAGACACGGUCCAGACUCCUACGGUAGGCAGCAGUAGGGAAUCUUCCGCAAUGGGCGAAAGCCUGACGGAGCAACGCCGCGUGAGUGAUGAAGGUCUUCGGAUCGUAAAACUCUGUUAUUAGGGAAGAACAAAUGUGUAAGUAACUAUGCACGUCUUGACGGUACCUAAUCAGAAAGCCACGGCUAACUACGUG